rnacentral:rRNA from 1 species
CGAAAUGCAUUUAGGUGCAGCGUGAUGUGAGCUUGCCGGAGGUAGAGCUACUGGUUGGUUGAGCGGGACUAUCAUCUUAGCGACGUCAGCCAAACUCCGAAUACCGGUUAUAGUGGUGCAUUGCAGUGAGACUGUGGGGGAUAAGCUUCAUAGUCGAGAGGGAAACAGCCCAGACCAUCAGCUAAGGCCCCUAAGCGGUGACUAAGUGGAAAAGGAUGUGGAGUCGCAGAGACAACCAGGAGGUUGGCUUAG